rnacentral:rRNA from 1 species
GUCCACGCCGUAAACGAUGGAUACUAGCUGUUGGGGGCAACUUCAGUGGCUAAGCGAAAGUGAUAAGUAUCCCACCUGGGGAGUACGUUCGCAAGAAUGAAACUCAAAGGAAUUGACGGGGGCCCGCACAAGCGGUGGAGCAUGUGGUUUAAUUCGAUGAUACGCGAGGAACCUUACCAAGGCUUAAAUGUAGUUUGACCGUUUUGGAAACAGAACUUUCGCAAGACAAAUUACAAGGUGCUGCAUGGUUGUCGU